GAUGAACGCUGGCGGCGUGCUUAAUACAUGCAAGUCGAGCGGUAACACUUCGGGUGACGAGCGGCGGACGGCUGAGUAACGCGUAGGAACCUACCCCAGACUGAGGGAUAAGCAUCAGAAAUGGUGUCUAAUACCGCAUACGCUCUUCGGAGUAAAGCUUCGGCGGUUUGGGAAGGGCCUGCGUAUGAUUAGCUUGUUGGUGAGGUAACGGCUCACCGAAGGCGACGAUCAUUAGCUGGUCUGAGAGGAUGAUCAGCCAGACUGGACUGAGACACGGCCCAGACUCCGUACGGGAGGCAGCAGUAGGGAAUUUUCCACAAUGGGCGCAAGCCUGAUGGAGC
rnacentral:rRNA from 1 species